GUUUCAAUUCCUCAUAGGCAGGCUAUCGGCCCCAUUUUCAGGUAACGAUGACGGAUUGUCCUGCCGG
rnacentral:sRNA from 1 species